AGUUUUUUUGUCUUUCGAACGCCAGAGAAGAUGUAUGUCUGAAAGAUUUGUUUUCCAGAAAAUCAUGGACCUGUUACAGUUAGGGUUAUUACUCAUGUUGAACGGUUGCUCACAUGGGGAAGGUUUAGCUGAUAAAGAAGUAGUGGAAUUAUUGGCAGUGAAGGACCCAAAAUUUGAGGUACCUGAAGAAAAAGAUGAAACUGAUGUAGCUGUCAGGCCACAAGCACCAGCAGGUGAGGAGUCAUCAUCCAGUUCAGAGUACGAGUGAAGUCCAGCACAAAUGUGGAAAAUAAAGACACAAGACAGAGACUCGACCCACGACGUGAGGAAUUGGCAGAGACAGAAAAGUCUCUCUGUGCCACGCUGCAGCUGCUGGUUGUAUCGCUGGUGCCUGCUAUCCUGGCCAUGUGUCUCUGACAUCCUAACUGUGAAAUAUGUGUUGUGUUCUUACAACACACAAAUAUUAUUUUAUGUUGUCAUAUCCAAUGAAAUUAUUGUGUAGUUUAUGUACAUCGAAGUAGGUAGCUGUGGUUGAAGAUAUAAUGUCAUACAACUGUACUGAUUUUGAAACUGUGCGUUUAAAAGUAAUCUGUGAAAAAGUUUUCCGAGUAAAUAUCUUGUUUCAUUACAGUAA